GGCUCCUUAGUUUAAUGGAUAGAAUGGAAGAUUCCGGUUCUUUUGAUGUGGGUUCGAUUCCCGCAGGAGUCA
rnacentral:tRNA from 1 species